rnacentral:rRNA from 3 species
UGGCGGCACUAGCGCGGUGGUCCCACCUGACCCCAUGCCGAACUCAGAAGUGAAACGCCGUAGCGCCGAUGGUAGUGUGGGGUCUCCCCAUGCGAGAGUAGGGAACUGCCAGGCU